ACGGGUGAGUAAUGUCUGGGAAACUGCCUGAUGAGGGGGAUAACUACUGGAAACGGUAGCUAAUACCGCAUAACGUCGCAAGACCAAANAGGGGGACCUUCGGGCCUCUUGCCAUCAGAUGUUGCCCAGAUGGGAUUAGCUAGUAGGUGGGGUAACGGCUCACCUAGGCGACGAUCCCUAGCUGGUCUGAGAGGAUGACCAGCCACACUGGAACUGAGACACGGUCCAGACUCCUACGGGAGGCAGCAUG
rnacentral:rRNA from 1 species